GGCUCAGGAUGAACGCUAGCUACAGGCUUAACACAUGCAAGUCGAGGGGCAGCAUGAACUUAGCUUGCUAAGUUGAUGGCGACCGGCGCACGGGUGAGUAACACGUAUCCAACCUGCCGAUGACUCGGGGAUAGCCUUUCGAAAGAAAGAUUAAUACCUGAUAGUAUGGUGAGAUUGCAUGAUAACACCAUUAAAGAUUUAUUGGUAAACGAUGGGGAUGCGUUCCAUUAGGUAGUAGGCGGGGUAACGGCCCACCUAGCCUGCGAUGGAUAGGGGUUCUGAGAGGAAGGUCCCCCACAUUGGAACUGAGACACGGUCCAAACUCCUACGGGAGGCAGCAGUGAGGAAUAUUGGUCAAUGGGCGAGAGCCUGAACCAGCCAAGUAGCGUGAAGGAUGAAGGUCCUACGGAUUGUAAACUUCUUUUAUACGGGAAUAAAGUAUCCUACGUGUAGGAUUUUGUAUGUACCGUAUGAAUAAGCAUCGGCUAACUCCGUG
rnacentral:rRNA from 1 species